CCUACGGGAGGCAGCAGUAGGGAAUCUUCCACAAUGGGCGCAAGCCUGAUGGAGCAACGCAGCGUGCAUGAAGAAGGUCUUCGGAUCGUAAACCCUCUUGUUAGAGAAGAUAGUACGUGAGAGUAGCUGUUCACGUUUCGACGGUAUCUAACCAGAACGCCACGGCUAACUACGUGCCAGCAGCCGCGGUAAUACGUAGGUGGCAAGCGUUAUCCGGAUUUAUUGGGCGUAAAGGGAACGCAGGCGGUCUUUUAAGUCUGAUGUGAAAGCCUUCGGCUUAACCGGAGUAGUGCAUUGGAAACUGGGAGACUUGAGUGCAGAAGAGGAGAGUGGAACUCCAUGUGUAGCGGUGAAAUGCGUAGAUAUAUGGAAGAACACCAGUGGCGAAAGCGGCUCUCUGGUCUGUAACUGACGCUGAGGUUCGAAAGCGUGGGUAGCAAACAGGAUUAGAUACCCUUGUAGUC
rnacentral:rRNA from 1 species